rnacentral:rRNA from 1 species
AUUGAACGCUGGCGGCAUGCCUUACACAUGCAAGUCGAACGGUAACGCGGGGCAACCUGGCGACGAGUGGCGAACGGGUGAGUAAUGCAUCGGAACGUGCCCAGUAGUGGGGGAUAGCCCGGCGAAAGCCGGAUUAAUACCGCAUACGACCUACGGGUGAAAGGGGGGGAUCGCAAGACCUCUCGCUAUUGGAGCGGCCGAUGUCGGAUUAGGUAGUUGGUGGGGUAAAAGCCUACCAAGCCGACGAUCUGUAGCUGGUCUGAGAGGACGACCAGCCACACUGGGACUGAGACACGGCCCAGACUCCUACGGGAGGCAGCAGUGGGGAAUUUUGGACAAUGGGGGAAACCCUGAUCCAGCCAUGCCGCGUGCGGGAAGAAGGCCUUCGGGUUGUAAACCGCUUUUGUCAGGGAAGAAACGCUCUGGGCUAAUACCUUGGAGUAAUGACGGUACCUGAAGAAUAAGCACCGGCUAACUACGUGCCAGCAGCCGCCGUAA